ensembl:lncRNA
CAUUGCUUUAUACUGUGGCACAAGGAAGUUAAAGGGAGCUAAAGAGAUCAUGUUUUUGACUUGAGUGGUUGGAUGGGUUCUAGAGUCUUUGUCAAGAGAACACAGAAAGUUGUAUGUUCAGUUUGUGAUAUUUGCAUAUCCAAGAAGAAAAGUUAUAUAGCUGAUGCAUUUGUUUGUUUUUUACUCAUUGCUUUAUUCUGGAAAAAUUUUGAGUGAUCCAGAAUACAUUCAUAUAUUUGAUUGUAAGUUUAAUUCCAGGAGUGAUUGAAGAUAAACACACAGGAGGCAGCACUGGGACAGUCAUUGAAUCCUGGAUGGAACUGAGAUGGUGAAGAUUCAGUAUGCAACAUGAGAAGACAGCCAGGCCAGAGGCUGCUGGAAACUCGCCCUGGAAUAUGCAGCACAGGGAGAAGGAUCUGUAACAAAAAAAUAAAGAACAUUACACAAAGCAGAAGUGCUAAGAAAAAGUGAUGGUAAAUAAUCCAAGAAAUGACAGAGUACAUAACUGCAUAUAGAUUUAGAUGGUGAUAUGAAAUUAUGAAUUUAGCUUACCCAAAAUAAGGCAAUAGGAAGGAAAUUCUAAUAAAAAUGAUUUGAGAAUAAGAAAAAAUGAGGUAGAAUUGAUGUCUCAAACAAGAAUUUUUAAUGACGGGAAGGUGCAGGGAAUUAGCUAGAAAUAGAUGGUGUGAAGGGCAAAUGAUGCUGAGAGUAUGAGUGUAUGUGAGAUAAUGUGUUCUGUGACUAUUUGUAAGCACGUGUAUGUGUAUAUUAUUGUAUUAUGUGCUGUAAUGUCUGUUUUUGUGUAUGUGAAAGUGUUCUUGUGUGUUUAGUUUGUGUAUCAGUAUAUAUGUUAUGUGAGAGGGUGUAUUUUUGUGACUAUGUGAGUAUGUUUGUGUGUUUUCUGUGCUUGUGUAUGAAUGCAUUUGAGAAUUUUGAUUAGCCUGGAUGUGUUUGAGCAUGUAUUGUGUGGGUUCUUGUAUGUUUCUAUGUGAGUACAUUUUUAUGUGUUUGUCUGUCAAUGUGUGUCUGUAUUUCUGUGCCUGUGACAGUCUGAACGUGUGAGUUUAAAAUGUGAGGAUUGUGACUCUGUAUACUGUGUAGGGUAUUGUGUAAUUUUGUGACAAUAUGUGUGCACAAGUGUGAACUGUAGUUUUGUCUAUAUUUGAAUGAGAAUGUGCCUGUGUCCUUGAAUAUAUAUAUUUGUUAGUGCAUGCAGAUGAACAUGUGUAUAUUGGAGAAUGCAUAUCUGUAAUUAUCAGUAUGUUUUAAAGUGUGUAUUUGUGUAUGUACACACUCAAGUGUGUGCAUCAAUAUGUCUUAGAAUAUGUGCUUAUGUUCUUCUGUAUGUUUGUGGGCAAAAGUGAGUGCGUGAAUGUGUUCUUGACAUAAGCUAAGUAUGUGACUCUGUGUGGUUCAUCUCUGUGUAAGGGUGCAUUUGUGUGUGUGUAUAUGUAUGCAAAUUCAUGUGUUUGUGUAUGUGAUUGUUUCAGCACAUGUGACCAUGUGAAUGUGUGGCUGUUUAUGUAUGUUUGUAAAAGUGUGUGUGAAUGUGUUUGUAUAUGAGUGUGAUGGGUAACUGUGUGAAAGUUUGUGUUCUUAUGUGCAAAUGUGUGUCAGUGUGAAUGUGUGUGCAACUGUGUGUAUGUGACUGUGUCUGUGUGUUUGGGGUAAAUACAGAGACCUUAUGUCUGACUCUUGCUUGCUCUACCACUCCUUGGUGACACUGUAACACUAGGGACUUCAUUUAAACUCUCAUUAACAAUGUGUUGUACCUAAAAUUAAGAAGACAGGAACUGUUUACUGUGAUGAUGUUAAUAAUCAUAGGUUUCUCAAAUUCUGGAGCAUUCUGGAUUCUUUCAGAUCUGCUACAAUUAGAUUGCCUACAAAUCUGAGUACAAUUUGUUAAGAAACAUCUCAACUACUGAGAU